GACUCUCGACAAUGGAUAUCUCGGCUCUCGCAUCGAUGAAGAACGUAGCAAAAUGUGAUACUUGGUGUGAAUUGUAAAAUCUCGUGAACCAUUGAGUCUUUGACCGCAAGUUGCACUCGAAGCCAUUAGGUCGAGGGGCACGUUUGCCUAAGAGUCA